UCUCCGUUGGUGAACCAGCGGAGGGAUCAUUACAGAGUUUUCACAACUCCCAACCCUCGCGAACGUUACCAAACUGUUGCCUCGGCGGGAAAUUCAUGCCCCGGGCGCGUCGCAGCCCCGGACCAAGGCGCCCGCCGGAGGACCGACCAAACCUCUUUUGUAUGUCCCUCGCGGACUUUUAUAAUUCUGAACCAUCUCGGCGCCCCUAGCGGGCGUUUCGAAAAUGAAUCAAAACUUUCAACAACGGAUCUCUUGGUUCUG
rnacentral:misc_RNA from 1 species